GGAAAAAGUGUUUAUGUCAAGGGAAAUGGUGGAUCUUUAUGGACUAACAGCUAAGUUACCUCUCGCGCGUUUAACAGGAGGUAGAAUUCAUGAAGAUGGACAUCUCCAAAGGAAAGCUGCUAGAGUCUUGUUACUUAUCGAACGUCAACCUAGAUCAUCCAGAUCUCUCAUUGCAGGUAUAUCCGGUUAAGAAAAGCGUUGUCUAAAGUCGAAAAGUAUGGCCUUUGAUCUAAAGGCCACACUUUCCUGGUGUUGCUUUUAAAGGCCUAAUGUG
rnacentral:misc_RNA from 1 species